UACGUAGGUGGCAAGCGUUGUCCGGAUUUACUGGGUGUAAAGGGCGUGUAGGCGGGGAUGCAAGUCAGAUGUGAAAUCCCGCGGCUCAACCGCGGAACUGCAUCUGAAACUGCGUCUCUUGAGUGUCGGAAGGGAAAGUGGAAUUCCUAGUGUAGCGGUGAAAUGCGUAGAUAUUAGGAGGAACACCGGUGGCGAAGGCGACUUUCUGGACGAUAACUGACGCUGAGACGCGAAAGACGUGGGGAGGCAAACAGGAUUAGAUACCCUCGGUA
rnacentral:rRNA from 1 species